CUGGCUUCCCAGCGAAGCGGGAUGAGGGACAGAAGGGGCUCCGUGUAAGGGCUCCCUUCUGUUCCUCCUCCCGCUUCACUGGGAAGCCAG
rnacentral:miRNA from 1 species